UAGCUCAGCAGUUAAGAGCACUGGCUGCUCUUCCAGAGGACCUGGGUUCAAUUCCCAG
rfam:Neotoma lepida isolate 417 scaffold_629, whole genome shotgun sequence.